rnacentral:misc_RNA from 1 species
GAACGAGUUACCACAAGCUCCGCUUAUGUGCAGUGCUAGGCGAGGUUUGGAACCCUACCAUCUAUUCUCUAUGCAUCUCAAUUGCUUGCUUCGCACCUCUACUUGGUAACCUCCAUACAAUGCCCCUUGUUUUGUUCUAGCCCUAUUCUAUUACCAGGCAUAAUUGGGAGAAGCUCAUCCGAAACUAGAGCUAGAAAUACACUAUUUUGUUCUGUUUCCGCUCUCUAAAAAAUUAUCUGUUAGUAAGGCAUUGGCCAGACACAGAGCGGUGCUUCAUUUUCAGAAAUGUACUUUUGGCUGCGGUGACAA